GGACUACCGGGGUAUCUAAUCCUGUUUGCUCCCCUAGCUUUCGCGCCUCAGCGUCAGCAAUAGCCCAGAAAACCGUCUUCACCACUGGUGUUCUUCCACAUAUCUACGCAUUUCACCGCUACACGUGGAAUUCCGUUUUCCCUAGCUACACUCCAGUCUGGUAGUUUCAAAUGCAGCUCCGCAGUUGAGCCGCGGAAUUUCACAUUUGACUUGCCAGGCCGCCUACGCGCCCUUUACGCCCAAUAAUUCCGAUCAAUGCUUGCACCCUCCGUAUUACCGCGGCUGCUGGCAC
rnacentral:rRNA from 1 species